rnacentral:rRNA from 1 species
UACAUGUGGGGCAAGCGUUGUUCGGAAUUACUGGGCAUAAAGGGUGCGUAGGCGGCUUGUUAAGUCAGGGGUGAAAUCCCACGGCCCAACCGUGGGAACUGCCUUUGAUACUGGCGAGCUUGAGUGCGUGAGGGGUAACCGGAACGAGUAGUGUAGCGGUGAAAUGCGUAGAUAUUACUCGGAAGGCCAAAGGCGAAGGCAGGUUACUGGUACGCAACUGACGCUGAGGCACGAAAGCGUGGGGAGCAAACAGG